CGACAGAGCUUUUCAAUUCUAUUCGUUACUUCCUACUUCUAUAUUAAUUACACGUGUUUCUGUUACGAAUAAUAAAUUCAGCGUGGAGUUCAUUAAUCCAUAAUGUGUGAUAAUAAGGAAAUCACGCACGACAGAUACAGAAUUUGCCCAGCAAUGUCCAGCCACGCGCCGCGAUCCCGUGUCGACCUCGAUUCCUCGAAAACGUUGACCGACGUUACGUCACCUGGCGGGGCCGGGCGUCGUUUGCAACGCGCAAUUAGUGCGGCCAGCUCGCUUUUUCGCGCUCACGGAGGACCGCGGCCACGUGAGUGCGCCUGCACCUGCCCAGCCUGCUAAUUGACACGAAUAGCGUGGAUUGUUCCUCGAGGACGACGUUCCUCGAGAGCCGAUCGCUCGGGCUAUCCGCUCCGGCGAACGCCACUCGGUUGAACGAGACGAUUCGAGGACGCUGGGGAUUUGUUGUGCGGCAGUUGGUUCAUCGUUCAGGAAUUUAUCGCGCGUCGCGGGUCAAGGAACAUCGACGGCGGUAUUCAACGAACAGGAGUACGUCUUUCUCGAAUUAAGCCUACUCGUUGUUCUGGAUUGAACGGAAUACAUCUUUAAAAACUAGAUAAAAAAAGCAGCGCAAAUAAAUCCAAUUGACGUUAAUGUUAACCGUGAAAUUAUUUGCAAUACACGACGGACAAUAUAAAUUUUCAC